UACGGAGGGUGCGAGCGUUGUUCGGAAUCACUGGGCGUAAAGGGCGUGUAGGCGGUCCGCUAAGUCUGAUGUGAAAGCCCGGGGCUCACCCCCGGAAGGGCAUUGGAAACUGGCGGACUCGAGUCUCGGAGAGGAAGGUGGAAUUCCUGGUGUAGCGGUGAAAUGUGUAGAUAUCAGGAGGAAUACCGGUGGCGAAGGCGGCCUUCUGGACGAUGACUGACGCUGAGACGCGAAAGCGUGGGGAGCAAACAGG
rnacentral:rRNA from 1 species